GGGCUCGUGGUCUAGUCCGGUCAUGACAUCGCCUUUACGAGGCGAGGGUCCCCGGUUCAAAUCCGGGCGGGCCCA
rnacentral:tRNA from 1 species